GGAGGGUAUAACUCAGUGACAGAGUGUGUGCUUAAGCAUGCACGAGGUCCUGGGUUCAAUCCCCAGUACCUCCA
rnacentral:tRNA from 1 species